GAUGAACGCUGGCGGCGUGCCUAAUACAUGCAAGUCGAGCGAAGCGGGGACGGGUGAGUAACACGUGGAUAACCUCCUAUAAGACUGGGAUAACUUCGGAAAACCGGAGCUAAACCGGAUACUUACAGAUUGAUCCGGGCUGCAUUAGCUAGUUGGUAAGGUAACGGCUCACCAAGGCAACGAUGCAUAGCCGGCCUGAGAGGGUGACCGGCCACACGUGAACUGAGACACGGUCCAGACUCCUACGGGAGGCAGCAGUAGGGAAUCUUCCGCAAUGGGCGCAAGCCUGAUGGAGCCACGCCGCGUGUGUGAUGAAGGUCUUCGGAUUGUAAAACUCUUUUAUCAGGGAGGCGGUACCUGCUCAGAAAGCAACGGCUAACUACGUGCCAGCAGCCGCGGUAAUAC
rnacentral:rRNA from 1 species